GGGCUUGGUGUUGGAGAUCGGCGAGCCCCCCGGGGCGCGCCGUCUCCCAAAUAUAGUGGCGGUCCCGCUGUAGCUUCCUCUGCGUAGUAGCACACCUCGCACUGGGAAACAGCGUGGCCACGCCGUAAAACCCCCCACUUCUGAAAGGUUGACCUCGGAUCAGGUAGGAAUACCCGCUGAACUUAAGCAUAUCAAUAAGCGGAGGAAAAGAAACCAACAGGGAUUGCCCUAGUAACGGCGAGUGAAGCGGCAACAGCUCAAAUUUGAAAUCUGGCCUUCGGGUCCGAGUUGUAAUUUGUAGAGGAUGCUUUUGGUGAGGUACCUUCCGAGUUCCCUGGAACGGGACGCCAUAGAGGGUGAGAGCCCCGUCUGGUUGGAUACCGAUCCUCUGUAAAGCUCCUUCGACGAGUCGAGUAGUUUGGGAAUGCUGCUCUAAAUGGGAGGUAUAUGUCUUCUAAAGCUAAAUAUUGGCCAGAGACCGAUAGCGCACAAGUAGAGUGAUCGAAAGAUGAAAAGCACUUUGAAAAGAGAGUUAAAAAGUACGUGAAAUUGUUGAAAGGGAAGCGCUCAUGACCAGACUUGGGCUUGGUUGAUCAUCCAGGGUUCUCCCUGGUGCACUCUUCCAGCCCAGGCCAGCAUCAGUUCGCUGUGGGGGAUAAAGGCUUCGGGAAUGUGGCUCCUCCGGGAGUGU
rnacentral:rRNA from 1 species